rnacentral:rRNA from 1 species
UACGUAGGUGGCAAGCGUUAUCCGGAUUUAUUGGGCGUAAAGGGAACGCAGGCGGUCUUUUAAGUCUGAUGUGAAAGCCUUCGGCUUAACCAGAGUAGUGCAUUGGAAACUGGGAGACUUGAGUGCAGAAGAGGAGAGUGGAACUCCAUGUGUAGCGGUGAAAUGCGUAGAUAUAUGGAAGAACACCAGUGGCGAAAGCGGCUCUCUGGUCUGUAACUGACGCUGAGGUUCGAAAGCGUGGGUAGCAAACAGG